GAUGAAAUGAGAGGAGAGCAAAUAAGAAACGUCGUUGCCUACAUUUGUUGAAUCUGCGGAAGUCGCUCUGGCAAGUAAGGCCGUGGGAUCUGGAUCUGAGUGUCUGAGAUCUGAGACACUCAGCAAAGGAAGUCUCCACAGGCGGUGGCAGCUCUGGAAUUUCCCACAGCCACUCCUCCAACAAGCUUUUUCUCCUGAAUGCCCAGCUUCAGUGCCUGGGCAUUGCUGCCAGGGAUCCUGCUGGUGCAUUCAGCUGCCAUUCAAGGAAACAGCCCUCCACACCGCCUCGCACUUGGAAGUCUGUCUUACAGCAUAAAACAGGUGGAAGGACAUUCUGCCUUUAGAGUUCUACUGGCAUGUCUUGCUACUUCUACUGCCCGAUGCCAAGAAUGACAAAAAUCUUUUGUGUAUGUUUGGGGGUGGGAAAGACCAGAUAGUACCGUGAAUAGCAGUUAACUUGCUGUUUGGGCAAGAUUCCCAGGGCAGCUGUUGUAACUCAGGCGGCAAUAACUCUAACACUUGGCUCUGUUUCUAGGAUGGAUUGAUAGAAACUCUGGACAAAUCAUUUAAAAAAUUAUGCUCCUGUGAUAUGUUGAAUGUAUCACUGAUCCACUCAAAAGCUGAAUGUUUGUUAGUAUCAUAAUAAUGAAGCACAAUGAGCAUGUUAAUCAACCAGGGUUGUGAUUACACUUCCAUUUCCAUUCUAAAUAUCUUCUGCUUUCAGUAAAGUCAUUGGCAUCUGUUGGCAAAAAUUUGAACUGAUGCAAGAUUUGCAAUCUGUAGCUACAAUUGAGACAAGAUUACUUUUUUCA